UACGUAGGGUGCAAGCGUUGUCCGGAAUUAUUGGGCGUAAAGAGCUCGUAGGCGCCUGUCGCGUCGGCUGUGAAAACCCGAGGCUCAACCUCGGGCCCUGCAGUCGAUACGGGCAGGCUAGAGUUCGGUAGGGGAGACUGGAAUUCCUGGUGUAGCGGUGAAAUGCGCAGAUAUCAGGAGGAACACCGGUGGCGGAGGCGGGUCUCUGGGCCGAAACUGACGCUGAGGAGCGAAAGCGUGGGGAGCGAACAGG
rnacentral:rRNA from 1 species